rnacentral:rRNA from 2 species
UCCCACCCGUGUUUACUGUACCUUAGUUGCUUCGGCGGGCCCGCCAUUCAUGGCCGCCGGGGGCUCUCAGCCCCGGGCCCGCGCCCGCCGGAGACACCACGAACUCUGUCUGAUCUAGUGAAGUCUGAGUUGAUUGUAUCGCAAUCAGUUAAAACUUUCAACAAUGGAUCUCUUGGUUCCGGCAUCGAUGAAGAACGCAGCGAAAUGCGAUAACUAGUGUGAAUUGCAGAAUUCCGUGAAUCAUCGAGUCUUUGAACGCACAUUGCGCCCCCUGGUAUUCCGGGGGGCAUGCCUGUCCGAGCGUCAUUGCUGCCCAUCAAGCACGGCUUGUGUGUUGGGUCGUCGUCCCCUCUCCGGGGGGGACGGGCCCCAAAGGCAGCGGCGGCACCGCGUCCGAUCCUCGAGCGUAUGGGGCUUUGUCACCCGCUCUGUAGGCCCGGCCGGCGCUUGCCGAACGCAAAUCAAUCUUUUUCCAGGUUGACCUCGGAUCAGGUAGGGAUACCCGCUGAACUUAAGCAUAUCAAUAAGCGGAGGAA